rnacentral:rRNA from 1 species
AUUGAACGCUGGCGGCAUGCCUUACACAUGCAAGUCGAACGGUAACAGGUCUUCGGAUGCUGACGAUUGGCGAACGGGUGAGUAAUACAUCGGAACGUGCCUAGUAGUGGGGGAUAACUACUCGAAAGAGUGGCUAAUACCGCAUGAGAUCUACGGAUGAAAGCAGGGGAUCGCAAGACCUUGUGCUACUAGAGCGGCCGAUGGCAGAUUAGGUAGGUGGUGGGAUAAAAACUUACCAAGCCGACGAUCUGUAGCUGGUCUGAGAGGACGAUCAGCCACACUGGGACUGGGACACGGCCCAGACGCCUCCGGGAGGCAGCAGUGGGGAACUUUGGACAAUGGGCGAAAGCCUGAUCCAGCAAUGCCGCGUGCAGGAUGAAGGCCUUCGGGUUGUAAACUGCUUUUGUACGGAACGAAAAGCCCUGGGUUAAUACCCUGGGGUCAUGACGGUACCGUAAGAAUAAGCACCGGCUAACUACGUGCCAGCAGCCGCGGUAA